AUGUCAAUUGUCAAAUCUUCAAUUCAUAGUAUUAGCUCAAAUUGUCUCAUUUCUCAAGAACAUUAUGAUGCUAAUUCAAAACAAACACCAUCUCAACACCUUCUGCCUUUUGAAAACUCAUGUGUGAAACCUUCUCCUAAUAGUGCCAUUGCUACAUGUUCUUCCAUCAUGGACCUAAAAACAACAACAUUGAAUCACAAUGAGACCAGUGAGUUACCAACAUUAAUUAAGAAAACAACCAAGAAGCGUAUUAAAGCCUACAAUAUCAUUGGUAAAUCAUAG